rnacentral:lncRNA from 1 species
GGCAUCAUCUCUCUUGGAGUCUUCUUCUUGGCAUGAAAGGUCUCAUCCAAGAAGAUCUCAAGGCAUGAGAUUAGAUCUUCUCCCUCCUCUUUUACUACCUUUUUGAAGGAUUGAUGCAAAAGGAAUCAUCUCUCUUCCUUACAGAGCCUAGCCUGCACAUGAAGUAGAGGGCCUGUGCUUUUAGACCUCGUGAAUCAGAUUCAAGCAACC